rnacentral:tRNA from 1 species
GCGGGCGUAGCUCAAUGGUAGAGCGCUGGCCUUCCAAGCCAGCUGUUGUGGGUUCGAGUCCCAUCGCCCGCUCCA